UACGUAGGGGGCAAGCGUUGUCCGGAUUUAUUGGGCGUAAAGAGCGUGUAGGCGGCCAGAUAGGUCAGCUGUGAAAACUCGAGGCUCAACCUCGAGACGUCGGUUGAAACCAUCUGGCUAGAGUCCGGAAGAGGAGAGUGGAAUUCCCGGUGUAGCGGUGAAAUGCGCAGAUAUCGGGAAGAACACCCGUGGCGAAGGCGGGUCUCUGGGCCGUAACUGACGCUGAGGAGCGAAAGCGUGGGGAGCGAACAGGA
rnacentral:rRNA from 1 species